GAUGCGCACCCUACUCUUACAAUGGAUCAAAAAUCGUCAAUAUCCAUUAUAAGGGCUCAUUGAGAUCCAUGUUUAUGUGUCAAUCAAACUUCAGAAGCCUCACUAUGAGUAGUAGUACCAUCUCAAGUCAAAGGAUCAGUCACAUAAAUAUAGCAUCGAGACAGUCACUGAUGAUUGAAUAGAAUCCAAGUGAUCUCUUAUAUGGUCAUGCUCAGUGCUAGU
rnacentral:lncRNA from 1 species